rnacentral:lncRNA from 1 species
CUAGCGCACCUCUUGUCCACUCCUUUUCUGCGACAGCACCAGCGCAUGCGCCGCCGUCACUUGCUGCUCAUAGUGGCUGCGCGGUGUACCGCCGCCAACAAUACCUUAAGCGGAGGGAGGAUGUACGCUGCAGCAUCAGUCCUGACCUCUUUUGCCGAAUGGAUUUGGGGUAGCUUGCACAGGUAAAAUCCCUAAUUUUUUAUCCAUUUCACAUGAGGUAAAUUUCACCCCAGAUUAGAAAUUGAUGGGUAAAAUCUCCAUUCCACAACCACGCCUCUAGAUUUACUAAAGCAGAGAUUUAAAUAUCUGUGCUGCAGGCACUUUUUCAUGGAGCUGAUAUUAUAGAUAUUGGGAUAUGGGGACUAUUCAUUAGAUUGAUUUGAGCUGGAGAUCGACAUCUUCUGGAAGUAUGUGGUAUGAGAGAGAUGAGGAUAGAUUAAAUAGAGUUGAUAUCCAUUGCUAGAGGAAAAAGGUACGAUCUGUAUUUUUUGCUCUAAAAAAUUACUUCUCAAGUUUAUAUAGAAAUAUUAAUGUUGAAAGAACUUAUAUCUGUAUAAAUAUGAAAAAGUUAGUUCACGGAUACAGAACUGAUGGAUGGAAAAUUGUAUAUUUUAUUAAAAGAUGAAAGAUCCAUAUGUGCACAUACAUUUAUUCGUCCGAGGAGCCUAAUGUUUAUUUUUCUAGAGACAAAUAAAGGAAAUAUGGGAAUUGGAAACUAAACGUGAGAGAGAUUUGAGUAUUAGUAUGAGAGAGAAUUGUAAUGGCUAUUUAGGUGGAAUUAAUUGGUGAACUUUCUCUAGAAGGAUCAAAGAUUUGGAUUUUGAGAUUAUUCAUGAAUAGAUUUUAGUGUUGUGGAUCCUGGCUUCUAUAGGUCUAUAGCAUGAGGGAGAUUAAGAAAAGCUUAUUGUAGGUGGAAUCCAAUAGUGAUUUCAUUGUUUCAUCUGUUGCGACAUCAAAUAUUCAAGUAUAAAUAACUAAUAAAAAAGUAAUAAUUUCUUUCAAGUUCAAACAUAUAUAUCUAUAGAUUAAUAACGAUGUAAAAUUAACAUGUGAACCAAGUGCAUUUGUUGUUGAUAACGUAAUUACACAUGAAUUGUCUAUGAAGAAUUAUAGUUGUCAUCGAUCAGCACCUUCAAUCCUUCCUUGCUUGUCACUCUUGAUAGGGCCACAUAUAGUUGUCCAUGGCAGAACACUUGCUUAGGAAAAUAUAUUCCCACCUUGUUUAAGGACUGACUCUAACUCUUGUUUAUCAUCAUUGCGAAGCACACUGAUAAUGGAUAUUGCCUUCUUUUUAGCACGAAUGGUCAUUUUGCGUUGCUGGGUAACAUGAUGAUUUGAGGUAUAACUUUUCGCUGACAUGUGUUCCUGUGAUUAUUUGUGUCUCGAUGUAUUUAUUUCCCAGUUGUGUGAUUGUCAUUCUUGUAACGUUGCAUACACCUCCUGCUUGGUUGAUGUUGUGUAGGAGCAUGAUUGGCAAACCCACCUUCAGUUUUAACUUAUGGUCAGGGAUUCCUAGGGAUGUCAAGGUGUUGAGGAACUCCGUAGGCUGCAUGUUGCCUUCCACACUGGGUCCAGGCUUAGGUAUGUCACCUCUUCACCUUCUAUUUGGCUCAUUAUGUGGUUGCUUAUCUCCUUGACUGUAUCAUUUCUUGGACAUAGUAUUGCUCUUUCUUCUAGGUAAUCCCGCUCAUAGUAUUUUUGCAGCAAGUAUGGGUAUAUGCUUUUGACGAUUUGUUCUUUACGAUUUUCUCCUUUCUGUAGCAGUAGGUAUUUUGGUAUUUUUAUCCAAUCCUCUCCUUCAUUUGAUGUUGUUUUUCCAUCUCCAAUUUGUAGUAUUCACUCUGCAAAUUCAGCAACUUAUUGCUUUUGUAUUGGAUCAUGUGACAAACACUUCAGCCGCAUGUUUUGUGUUAACUCAAAUAUUUCUAAGUGUUUCCACAUAUAUGACCUUCUGAUUGAAGCAUUCACUAUCCGCUCUAUCCUUCCUUUGGUUAUAACUGGCAGGAUUUGUCUUACAUCGCCUCCUAGUAUUACUAUCAUUCCCCCAAAUGGCUUUUCAUCACAAUUUUCAUUAAUAAACCUGAGAAUAUCUCGAAGGCUUUUGUCUAGUACCUCGGAGCAGUGUUUGUUUGGCAUAGGAUCUUCGUCCCACAAUAUAAGUGAGGUCUUCUUUAGCAGUUCAGCCAAAUGUGAGCCUUGUUUAUCUCACACAUUGAUUCUUCAGGGAUAUUAAGAGGAAUGUGGAACCUUGAGUGUGUUGUUCUUCCACCUUGGAGAAGCAAUGCUGUAAUGGCACAUGAUGCUACCGCAAGCACCAUCUUCCCCUCUGAUGUUAGCUUUGUCAUUAUGGCUUUCCAUACAUAGGUUUUUCCUGUGCCACCGUAGCCUUCGACAAAUAUCUACUUUCCUAGCCCUUCGUCCUCAUAAUUCACAUAUAAUCUUUCGGACUUCUUUAGAUUUUCCAUCUAAGGAAUUCAACAGGAAUGAUACCGAUGUAUUUAGUCUUUCAGCCUCUUCAUCAAAUAAAGUGCAACUUGUAGUAGCAGUGUGAUCAAUAACUUGGAGUUAAAAGUGAUACCUAGAAUCAUAUUUAAUUAGUGCAACACAAAUAUUAUAGUACGUAGUGAUGAUCAAAUCUACAGAAUAUGCUUACCGAGGUGUUACACCUUCUGGAUAUGUAUUGAUGUUCUUGCAAUAAUAAUUAUGUGAUUCUUUCAUAGCAAUUUUGUUGCAAACUUUGCAUGACACGUACCACCAUUUAAUAUUUUCUGGUAACCGACCAAUUAUAGCUAUUUUGUGAACACAAAGUCCUGAAAGUCGAUGAAGAAAAUAUAGCUAUUUAAAUAAUAUGCAGCCACUCAAAGAAAUAUAUCAAAUACUCCCUCUGUAAACAAAUAUAAGAAAUAUAGCUAUUUUGUUUACAUAGGGAGUAUAUAUGUAUGUCUUGGAGGCUUGCAUGAUAUCAUAUAUUAGAAGAGUUUUGAUGCAAUACCUGAUUUGAUGGGUUGUGUGACUAAUUCCAAUAAAUUCUUUUAAUGUCCUUCUGUAAAAAAAAUUGUUCUUCCAGUGUCCCUUGAGUAUUUCUAUCCAUACACAUCAUUUUUGGUAAAGUUUCUUUGGUGGAGUGGCUAUACAUAAAAGAUAGUAAACAUAGAUAUAUUAUGGACUAAUCUUUCCCAUAAGGAUACUCUGAUUUUAUCACCCUUGAAUAAUCCACUCUCGAUAUACACUUAAUUAUACACUUAUUCUGGCAUAAGAAUUUUGAUCUCACGUAUAUCUAAAGUAGUUAUUUCCUUUGUCAUUCAAUGAAACAUUUUUUUGAAAGAUCCAGCAUUGCUGGCUUUUCAUUGGCUUAGCAGAAGAGAGGGCUUACAAAAAGGGUGAUCAAGCGAUCAGGGUCUGAGCACGUGGUAAGAAAGGGCAGAAAAGUGGCACGCCACCUCAUCCAAAAGAAACAGCAGCAAAAGAAAAAUACAGUCAUGAGGUUUACUCCUCACGUAAUCUCCCCGAAAGGGGCCUCUAUGUCGUUUGCUCCGGCGAGCCGCCAUUGCUCGAUGUCUCUCCGGCACGCCGCUAGAAUGUCACGCCAGCUUGAUAGUUUUCCUUUGAAUGUGCAGCUGUUAUGCUCCUGCCAGAUUUGCCAGGCCAGCAACGCGAUCCUUGUCUUGAUACCCUUUCUGUCAUGAGAAGCCGCGGAAUUGACGAUCGCGCUCACUACCUCGGUGGUGGUUGUGCAGGCUUCCCAGGUGCUUGGAGAGAGCGCAACACAGCCGUGCCAGGUGGCCGCCGUUGUCCAGGCUUGGCGUGAAGUUGGGCGUUCCGAGAGGAGGUGGAAGGAGGAUUCUAAGUUUCUGUUGUAGAGCUGACAGAAAUAUCCGUUGAUCCAUCCUCUACGCUGCAGGCGGUCGUUGCACUAGAGGCGAAUAAGGUGCAGUAGCCAGAGGAAAAAUUUGACCUUGCCCGGCGCCCAGAUCUUCCAUACGAGUUGUUGAAGCUGCUCCCUUGGCCUGUCUGGGAAUUGUAUUCUGUAGGCUGCUCUCGCUGUGUAUUGGCCUCCCGUCUUCCAUCUGAUCACGUCAACCACCCCUUCUCGGAGAAUCAGGUUGGCCGCGCUGAUCUGGUGCCGCAGCAGGAUGACCUGGGGGAUGAUAUCCAUAGUGUCACCGUGCCUCAGAUCGAGCACCCAUCUGUAUCCAUGCAGGGUCUCCGCCACCGUGCGGUUCUUCCUGACGGAUUGGCCGAACAGCAGCGGGAAGGCCUGGUUGAGCGGCUGCUCGCCUAGCCAUGGGCAGUGCCAGAAGAGGGCCUGGUUCCCGUCGCCCACCUCCACCUUUGUGGCCGAGGCGAAGAGAGCCCGGUCUUUGGCAUCGCAUGGUGAUCCUAUGCCCACCCACAGCCGCGCUGGGUCGGUCCAUGCCAACCAGAGCCAGCAAAGCCGGAGCGCGCGCGCGAAUCGCUCCACGUCCGGGAUCCCGAAGCCACCGCGGUCCACCGGCGGCGUGACUGUCUGCCAGUUAACCUUGCACUUCCCUCCAGUGAUCUCCUCGUCUUGGGCCCAUAAGAAUCGCCGUCUGGCCUGGUCCAUGUCUUUGAAGAAUUUCUUUGGGAUGCGUAGGACGGCCAUCGCAAAUGCGGGCAGCGCUGUCAGCACACCGGACGAGCACACGCUGCCCUGCGAUGGGCAUGAGCCGCCCCUUCCAUGCUGCCAGCCGUGCGCGAACGCGGUCGAGGAGGUACUGAAUGUGGACUAGCCGAAGUUUGCCCGCGCAGAGGGGGAGUCCUAGAUAUCUUAUUGGGAAGUCUACCCUCUUGCCGCCGAAAUUUCUCAGGACGUCCACUAGAUCUACGUUGUUGUAGUUGAGCGUCGCCACUGAUGAUUUCUGAGGGUUGUAGUGCAGUCCCGUGGCGUCCCCGAACCCUUCCAGAAUUUGCAUGAUGCUGUCGACCUCUUGCCGCUUUGGGUUGGCGAAGAGGAUGGCGUCGUCGGCGUAGAGCGUGACCCGCAGAAGUGCUGCUUUGACAGGCAACAAGGUUAGGAUGCCGGCCGUCUGCGUUGCCUCUAGCAGCCGGUGAAGGGGGUCGAUCACCAGGAUGAAGAGAAGUGGCGAUAGCGGGUCCCCGUGCCGCAGCCCACGCUGGUGGAUAAUGGCUUGUCCGAGGUCACCGUUGAGCGUGCAGGCUGAGGAGGCAGUGGAGAGGAGCAGUGCAAUACAGUCUCUCCAGCGCGCCAGGAAAUUUAAGCACUGCAACAGUUCCAACAGAUACUCCCAGGAAACCGAAUCGAAGGCUUUUGCGAUGUCGAUCUUCAGCAGCAGCGCCGGCGCUUUCUUCCUCUGGAGCAUUCGGAUUGUGUUUUGCACGUAGAGGAAGCUGUCAUGUAUCCCUUUCUUCUUUUGAAAAGCGCUCUGGGCGGGGGAGACCAGCUGAUCGAGGACGCCAACAAGUCUGAUGGAAAGCACCUUCGCGAUCAGUUUGGCCACCAAGUGAAUGAGGCUUAUCGGGUGAAAAUCAGCAAGUUUUGUUGCGCCGGACUGUUUUGGCAGCCGCACGAUGAUCGCUCUGCUGAGAGCUGCAAAAUCGCCGCCAGCCAGCCGGUAGAAUGCUUCAAAAACCGCCAUGACAUCCGCUUUGAUCGUCUCCCAGCACGCCCUGAAGAAAGUGCCGCUGAAACCGUCCGGUCCUGGUGACUUCUAUGUCGGAGAUGCGCAGAUCGCGGCCCACACCUCCUCCUCCAUGAAGGGGUUGUCGAGGCCAGCCCCCGUCUGCAACCGUGGGAGCUCGAUCGAGUCCCACUUAAUUAUCCGGUCCCUCCUUCCCUUUGUGCCAAGCAGGGCAGAGAAGUGUUCGUGCACUAGCUUGGCUUUGUCACUGUGGUUUGUGGCCUACCUGCCUGCGGCUUCGAUGCAGUGGAUAUGAUUUUUCCUCCUCCUGGAGAUGAUCUUGGCCUGGAAGAAGGUUGUGCGAGCAUCACUCACUUUCAGGUAGGUGGUCCGUGCUGCCUGCCGCUUUUUGACGCAUUCAAGCGCUGCUAGCCCGACAAUCUUCAGUUUUAGCGUCUUCCUUAGCCAGAACUCGCUGGGAGUGAGCUGACGCUUUUCUUGUGCUACAUCCAGCCGGAGAACAACUUCAGAAGCAAUGUGGAACUGGAGUUUGGAGUUGCUGAACAUGCUCUUGGCCCAGAUCCUUAAGUCAGCCGCGGUUCUCUUGAGUUUGAUUUUCAUCCUGGUAAAAGUGCAGUUGUGAUUCACCGGCCUCUGCCAUGCCCUGGCCACCGUUUGCUGAAAAUGAGGGAAUUUGGGCCAGAAAGAUUCAAAUCUGAAGGUGGCCUUGCGAGGUGGAGCCGCGGCGUCUGACAGAAGCAGAGGGCAAUGAUCCGAGUAGGAGGUGGAUGCUGCCAUGAGAAUGUGCGAUGGGAAAGAGGCUUCCCAUUCUUGGUUGCAGAAGACUUUGUCGAUCGCGACAAAGGUUGGGAUUUCCCUCUCGUUGCUCCAGGUGAAGCGCCUGUUUUUGCACUUGAUCUCUUUCAGGCAUGCCCUGUCAAUGGCGUCUCUGAAUCUGCCCAUAACUCUCCUGUUAAGGUUGUGGUUCCUUUUGUCCCUUGCCUCGUAGAUGAUGUUGAAAUCGCCAUUAAUCAGCCAUGGCUCUCCGUGGGGCGGCCUGAUUCUGAUCAUCUCAUCGAGGAACUCAUCUUUCUUGCUUCGUCGGCGGGGCCGUACACUGUUGUCAACCAGAAUGAGGAGUUGUAGUGGAGUUGGAGGACACUGGCGGUGAGGGAGAAUUGCCCCACAGAGUGUGUGACCACGGCGACCUUGGUGGAAUCCCAGAAGAUUGCAGCCCCGCCGCGCGUGCCCACAGCCGGGAGCACGGCGCAGUUAUCCAGCCGAACACCACCAAUCUCCCUGACAAUGCCCUGUGUCCACAUGUCUAUAUUGGUCUCUUGUAGACAAAGGAGAGCGAGGUUGUGAGCAUUGGCUGUCUCGCAAAUGGUUUCUCUCUUGGCCGGCGAGUUCAGGCCCCGAACAUUCCAGUUCAUGAUGGAGAUGGCUGUGUUACUCAACACGAAUGAAAUUGCUCCGACAACAUACCAAAUUCUAUUACUGAAGAAAACAUUCUGGUACAGUUACACCACCUCAUAUAUGUGGCUUGCCAGCGUCCACCCAUACGCCCCAAAUCACACUGACUACGAGCUAAACAUCGAUAACCUGCACUAAUCAUAAGGAAUAAGCCUAACUCAGACUGGCUUAAGGCAGCUACUGCCGGAGACUACCUAAAUCGAGCGCUAACAUGAUCUACUCCUGUGCAACUCCGUCUAGGCCGACCAGGCCAGCCAUGGUGCGCAGCGCCUGGACGUCGAGGCGCGUGAGCUUGGCGAUGUAGGAGACGUCGUCUUCAGUGAGUGGCUCAUCGAAGCGACGCAGCAGCGCCUCCGCAGCUUUCACCGUCAUCCGCUCCUUUGGACCCAGGACAACGAGCUCUUGAACCAGCCGGAGUGAGGCUCGCUGCACGACAGGGGUGGAGGAGGGGUUGGCCACCUGCCUGGCGCUGUGCCAGGUGGGGGCCGAUGGCGCACGCGUCUUGGGAGGGGCGGAGGGCCGCCGUGCCGGUGGAGGAGACGCCAAGAGGGGGGAGGAGCCUCACGGAAGAGCAGCUGAGCGGUGGCGCCGUCUUGCCCGAGCUGCAGCUGCUGCACUUGGUGAGUCACUGCCCCGAGCGUGGUUGCAGUUGUGGGAGGGGGCGGGGCGGCCCUGCAUGCCUGGACGGGGCCGAGCUGCAUGCAUGCAGGGAGCCCACCAGGAGCCUGGACGUCCAUGCUGGAUUCAUGCGUCCCGCCGCCACCGAAGACGAGCGGCGCUGCCAGAGCGCCAGCGAUGGCCUCCUCCAGCUCCUCCCGCCCAGGCUCGACGUGAGGCGGGGGCGGAAGCUGGAUCUCAUUGCCGGAGAAGAAAUCGGCGACGGGGUCGGGGCUGCGGCUGGCCGGGGGCGGCGGAGGGGGCGGGGAGGGCGCGCGAGGCAGAGGCAGGGGCGGAGUGAUGCGGAUCGUGGCCUCCUCUCGCCCAAGGUAGAUCGAGUUGCGGUGCCGGCUGAUGGGGGUGCGGCUGCGCUGCCUCUUCUGCUGGGGGCGGUCCUUGGCCGCCGCCGGGGCCUUGCUUGAGUGGUUCUGACCAAGCAGCGUGUCCGCCCAGGAACGCCUGGCCCCGCUCUCUCCGUCUUGGUCAUCAUGGUCCCUGCGGCCGCCACCACGCUAUAGCCCGUGGCAGCCGAAGGAGGCCACCGCAGCGGGCUGGCGGCGAGCUUGCCCGUCCUCCACAUGCCUGGUCCACGUCCCCGUGAAGAUCACCGAGAGGGGGGGCUCCUCCCCCGAUCCCGACGAGGGGAGACCGCUCUGGCGCGAGCUGGAAGACUGCGGCGUGCGGGGUGUCCAGUCCUCGAUCCGGUCCACGUGCACCAGCAGAUCCCGACGCCGGAAGCCGGGCGGCGGGGCAACCUGGAGGCUCGAAGGCGAGAACCCCAACAUGGCCUCGACCCUGCCCGCGCAGCGGGCGGCGUGCCGGAGCGUGCGCCUGGUGGGGAUGUGCGCGACAUCGGAUGCCCACACCCAGCAAGCAAAGGUCUUGGUGUGACCCCGCUCGUGCGUGCGGCUAUCCAGGCGGUCGACGAUGCAAAGGUCGCCGAGCGCCUCGACCGCACCCUCCAGCGACCACGGUUGCAUGGGCAUCCGCUCGAUGACGACCCGAACAUGGAGGGUGCAGUCCUGCGGCACCUCGUGGUCGUCUUCAUGCUAGCCCUUGACCGUGAAUUCGAUGCCAUCCACCUUGAUGACGCCGCAGUGGACGGCGUUCUCGUUGUGCGCCAGGAGCUGGAAGUGGACGAGGAAAUCUUCCGAGUCGUGGCUGGUGAUGCGCAACAGAUGGGGCAGCGUGUGGAUCAGCUCCUCGAUCGCGCGGCCCACCGCCAUCGGGCUCGCCGCUUGCUGCACCGUCGCAGCCGUACGGAGCACCGCGUGCUUGCGAAGCAGGAACUCCUGGUGCUCCAUGGCCGGCGUGGUCACCACCACCUUGUGGCUCGACCUUGGGCGGCGCGAGGGGUCGGUGAGGUACGCCUGGCGGUCCAUGGCGAGCGGCGGCGGCACCGUCGGCGGCGGCGUGGGGAAGCGCAGCCUCUCCUUCACCAGGCCCCGCUGGGGACGGGGGUGGUGACUGGGGGAGGAGGUGCACGUCUGGCCACGAAGCUUUGGAUUCUGAGGGCAGUCCCUACCGUAGUGGCCCUGUAGCUUGCAAAUGAUGCAGCGCAGCGGAUCCCUACAAUCUACUCGGCGAUGAGUACUGCUGAGGCAGCGAAAGCACAGGCCGUCGAAACGGCUUAAGAAGGCGGCACGGCCCGCGUCGCCAUUAAUGGCGGGGCAUCUGCCCGGACGCCCCGACGGACGGCACCCAAGCUUGCCCACUGGCCUCUAGAGUGUGCGCCGCUCCUUCCGGGACCUGACCUCUGUCCAAUCGUCCUCGCCACCCGAAGAGGAAAGGGGCGGUGCGGGUGGAGUCACGACCACGAUGGAUUUAAGCUUGCACUUCCCAGAACAGGGGCGCUCCUCAUGGACCGCGGUGGAAUGCGCGGCCCCGCCCUUGGAGCUCUUACCCCGCAGCAGGAGACGCGCCGGAACAUCGGGGCGGACCGUUGACGCAGGAGGCGAGGGGGUGGGGGCGGCGGGGAGACCGGCCCCUACAACGGACCAGCGGAUCUAGGCAGAUCUGCGGAGGACAAGGGCGAGCCCCAGCCCGAUCCAGCGCUACGGGAAGAGCGGGCCGAGCAGCAGGACCACACCUGGGAGGAUGGGCGCAUGGCUGGGUGGCGCCCCGGCCCGGGUUGGCAGGGAUGGUGGCUUGGUGGCCGCCGCGGCCGGACCGGCACAUGGCGCAGAGGAGGAGGAGAGAGCUCACGUAUAUUCUGGCAUGGAUAUACACUUAUUCUGGCAUAAGAAUUUUGAUCUCACGUAUAUCUAAAGUAGUUUUUUCCUCUGUCAUCCUUGAUUCUAUUGGUUUAAUCCUGGUAGGAACCCAAUGACAUCUGCAAAUUUUAAGAUUAACGACUUCAGAAUUAGAAAUUUAAUAAUUUGGAGUCUAUUAAUACAACUACCAACAUACAUGAGCAUUGUUAUUCUUUUUCUAGCUGUUCUUGCAAGGUAUCUUUGCUAGCAAACUCAAAGCAGUAAUAUGGAAAAUGAUCUAAGGAACCUUUCAUCUCCUUUAGGUUUGUAUUCUAUAUAGAAAUAAGUUUAGUUCAUUGCUGACUGGACAAUAUUUUGUCGAAUCUAUACAACUUUAAAUUGCUAGAAGCAUAUAUAGAACCCUUGUUGAUCAUUGGUCUAUAAGUGUCAAUUAGAUUCUUCUAGAUAGUAGCAUGAAUUGUAUCACCAUUCAAAAUUGAAUGAAAUAUAAUCUUAGAAAUAAUUUUUACAGUAGAAGAAACCCAUUGUUAAUAAUGUGAAGAAAAUACCUUCCCGUCAAUCUAGAUCAUAUCCAUGCUUAUAAGUUCAUCAGGCGAAGGGUUGAUUGAAUCCCACAUUCUCAUUACUUUGGAUUUAAUAUGCCAUGUGUGUCCUAUUGUGGUUAGCUCACUCAACUUCUUGUCCGCCAUAGGUUGUUGUCUUCAAAACAAUUUUAAAAAGAGCGAUUCAUGUGAUACUUGCACCAAUGAAAUCUUGGUUAUUUUUUUUCUAACUAAUCAACAAUGAACAUGAAAAUAGGGUAUUCGUAAAGAAUUUGCAAAGAAAGCUGGGAUGGGAAGAUUUGAGCAGAUAAAACAUAAUCUUAGAAAUUAUUUUUACAGUAGAAGAUGCCCAUUGUCAAUAAUGUGAAGAAAAUAUCUGCUCAUCCAUCUUGAUCACAGCCAUGCUUAUAAGUUCAUGAGGCGAAGGGUUAUUUGAAUCGCACAUUCUCAUUACUUUGGCUUUAAUAUGCCUUGUGUGUCCUCUUAUGGUUAGCUCACUCAACUUCCUGUACGCCAUAGGUUGUUUCCAUCUUUAAAAAGAGCGAUUCAUAUGAUACUACACCAAUGAAGUUUUGGUUAAAAAGGUUCUAACUAAUAAACAAUGAACAUGGAAAUAGGGUGUUCUUACGGAAUUUGCAAAGAAAGCUGUGAUGGGAAGAUUUGAGCAGACAUCAAGCAGUUGUAUAUUACACAAAGUAGAUGAUGUUUCCGUCAUUCCUUCCUUUGGCCUUCAAUGUGCAAGCAGUUAUAUAUAUUACCCAAAAUAGAUGAUGUUUCUGUCGUUCCUUCUUCAGGCCUUCGAUGUGUCUAGGCGUCUUGCCGCCCCCUUGGAUACGCGGGGUGUCAUGCCGAUCUUGUUGGUGCAAUCGAUCGUCCUUAGCAUGUGUUGAAGAACUUGAAGUGUUCUUACCCAAAGUUGAUGUUGUUUCUGUUGUUCCUUCCUCGGGCCUUCAAUGUGAUGGGUGUCCUACCAUCCCCUUUGAUAGGCGAGGCAGCAACCUUGCAGGUGCAGCUAAUCGUCCUCAGCAUCCACCUUGCCGUUGCAACUGAUCGACCUUAGCAUCGACCUUGCCGGUGCAACUGACCGUCCUUGGCAUGUGUGGAUGUGUUGUGUGGAUCUGCCUUCAAUAUGUCGUACAGUGUUGUGACGUGUGGCGACAUGUGUUGAUUCGCUAGGUGUGAUGUCUUGUAAUGUUUCUAUGUUGCAGAUGUGUCAACCUGAGCUUUAAGUCUUCUUGCGCAAAAUAGCAUAUGUCCGUGUACAGCGUGCAACUAAUUCAAGUCUGUACGUGAAACGGUAUAUGUAUGUCUCCUUGCACAUGUCCUUGGCUAAUAUGUAUGUCUCCUUGCCUAAUAUGCAUGUGCAAUAUUAAAUAAAGUGUCCUUGCCUAAUAUGCACGUGCAAUAUUAAAUAACGUGUCCUUGCCUAAUCCAGGACUGUACGUGAAAUAAUAGUCUAAAUAACGUGUCCUUGCCUAAUCCAAGUCUGUACAUGAAAUAACAGAAGUUGUCCUUGUCUAAUCCUAACCGUUGAUACAUCUUAUUUUUAAAGUGUC